UUACCCCACGAUGCUCAGGUCCGCCGCAUCUCCUGGGUUGUGGGGUUUGUCGGCUGAUUUGUAACCAAUGCGGUUCCUCGUGCCGCGGUUUCGAUCAGCCGACGCCCAU
rnacentral:sRNA from 1 species